rnacentral:lncRNA from 1 species
GGAAGGCCUAGCUCAGCUCACCUCUGGAAAGGUCUCCAAGCUGUGUGAUCUGGGGAAUCGUGGAGGGGUUUUGAGCUCAGGUGUCUUCUGCCAGCUGGACUCUGAGACCCUGGCCUGCUGGGGCGAGGAUGAGGCUCUGAUGUGGUCUGGUCAACUCUGGGUUGGCCAUCUGCACCACAGGGCUCUAACAAGGGCCUGCUAUAGGCCAUGAGAACCACUGUAAGUGUCCUUGUUCGGCAAAUACUUACUCAUCCCCUGCUGUAUGCCCGGCAAUGUUCCAGGCACAGGAAUUCAUCGGAGAGCUAGAGAGGACAAGAUGUUGUCAUGGAGCUGCAGCAACUGAACGAAAAACCAUGAGAGCCCACGGAGGGCUUUGGAAGGGAUGAGGGAUGGCCUUUUCGAAGAGAGGCACUGGAGUUGAAACCUGAAUGGGACAAGAUCAGGUGGAAGAGGCUUCCAGACAGAGGGGGCAGCUCUGUCAAAAGGUCCCAAAGAAGGAGAAAUCUCAAUGUGUUUAAGAAACAGGUGGGGCUUCUGCCUCACACUCAUUCUAAAACCUUCAACCCCACAGCUUCUGCUUUAGGCAAUGGGGACACCUGGGAAACACAGUGUCAAGGAGCCCAUCUCCAUUUUAGAAAGACAGAGAUGCGUUCUGGGCCGUUGCCCGGGAAAGAAUGUCUACCAGGACAGUUCUGAGAAGGCUCAGCAUCAUAUCUAAACACAGGAAAGGAAUUCCCUGUUGGAAAAUUCAGGAUGACAACUGUGGGUAGCAAGCCAAGGCAAAGGGCAGAACGUGGAGCAGCAUUUGAGGCUCCAGCCAAUUCCAGCCUGUCUGCAGGCACUGCCUGCCUCCACGGCUGUCAGGUGUCGCCCCCAGGAGCUACGUAGGGCGAAGCUAGGCAGGCUUUCAGUGCCAGCUGUGGUUUCCCCAACAGCUCACAGGCCAGAGGCCCCGCCCAGGCCACCUCCUCCAGUCCCCCUGCCGCGGGGUGGUCUUCGGUGGUCUCACUCUCCCUCCCACUGCAUUUCCAUCUCUGCUGUAAUAUACCACCUCAGCCCUUCCUUUUUGAUUCCCAAGAGCAAAUUUUGGAAAUAAAGCAACCUGAAAACAUGCUGUUGCUCAUUUUAUGCCUCCUAUAUCCGUUCUCUCCCAAAUGACUAAUAGAAAGCUCCAGUCACCAAGAUCAACUUCUCUAAAUCCUACCUCCUUCCGCUUGUAAACACCAAGUGCCCCUAUGUGAUACCAUGGCACCAAGUGCCAUGACAGAAACCUCUGCAGGGCUCUGGAAGUCAAAGAACUGUUAAU